AACGAACGCUGGCGGCAUGCCUAACACAUGCAAGUCGAACGAACCCUUCGGGGUUAGUGGCGCACGGGUGCGUAACGCGUGGGAAUCUGCCCUUUGCUUCGGAAUAACUCAGGGAAACUUGUGCUAAUACCGGAUGAUGUCUUCGGACCAAAGAUUUAUCGGCAAGGGAUGAGCCCGCGUAGGAUUAGGUAGUUGGUGGGGUAAAGGCCUACCAAGCCGACGAUCCUUAGCUGGUCUGAGAGGAUGAUCAGCCACACUGGGACUGAGACACGGCCCAGACUCCUACGGGAGGCAGCAGUGGGGAAUAUUGGACAAUGGGCGCAAGCCUGAUCCAGCAAUGCCGCGUGAGUGAUGAAGGCCCUCGGGUCGUAAAGCUCUUUUACCAGGGAUGAUAAUGACGGUACCUGGAGAAUAAGCUCCGGCUAACUCCGUG
rnacentral:rRNA from 1 species